rnacentral:rRNA from 1 species
CCUACGGGAGGCAGCAGUAGGGAAUUUUCGUCAAUGGGCGCAAGCCUGAACGAGCAAUGCCGCGUGAACGAGGAAGGUCUUCGGAUCGUAAAGUUCUGUUGAAGGGGAAAAAGAGCGGAGAGAGGAAAUGGUCUCCGAUUGAUAUUACCCUUCGAGGAAGUCACGGCUAACUACGUGCCAGCAGCCGCGGUAAUACGGAGGUGGCGAGCGUUAUCCGGAAUGAUUGGGCGUAAAGGGUUCGUAGGCGGCCUGCUAAGUCUGGAGUGAAAGGUACCGGCUCAACCGGUACAGGCUCUGGAAACUGGAGGGCUAGAGAGCAGGAGAGGGCGGUGGAACUCCAUGUGUAGCGGUAAAAUGCGUAGAUAUAUGGAAGAACACCAGUGGCGAAGGCGGCCGCCUGGCCUGUUACUGACGCUGAGGCACGAAAGCGUGGGGAGCAAAUAGGAUUAGAUACCCGUGUAGUC